rnacentral:lncRNA from 1 species
GUGAAAACUCGAAAGGUGGCAAUGAAGGUCUGUGGUUUGGUUUUAACAUUCGGUCCUGCUUGGAGUCUGGUUUGCAGACUUGGCCCAAGUGCAGAUUUAUAUGCAUUGCAUAGCCAACUUCGCUCUGCAGAGGGAAGUCUGAGGGGAACCACAGAACCUACAUGACUGAAAAAUAGCCGUGCAGGACACAUUGGUGACAGAAGCCUCAAAAAGGACACAAACCACGAAGGCAGUGAUGAUGACAAAGAAACAGAGCUGGAAUGGAACUCCCAGCUUGCUGUCAGGCCCGUCGCCGCUCCCCAUCCAUGGCAUCACUGAGCACAGGCUGAAAGAGCAGCGUGGGUGGUGCCUUGUUGGAGCUUUCUGGCAGAGGAAGCCUGAAGAAAGCUUGGACAUCCUGAAGCCAAAGGUGGCCAUAAGAGCACUGGUCUGCUACCGUCCUAUGGCCACCGCCGACAUAGACCCAUGGCUCCCGCUGCGUGUGUGGCUGCCUACUCACCCUCGAUGCGGACCACCUCUGUGCAGCUGGUGUAUGGGGAGGGGUAGCAAUGUUGGCGGGGAGAGGCUUGAUGAGACAAAGCUGGUAAGCUGGUUCCUCCUCUGUUUCACCAGCACAGGAAACUUGGUACUGCUUAUUAAGCCCAAGCCUAUGUCACACAAGAUCUUUGAUGCUCUAUUUUUUUUUGGGUGUUUUUUUUUUUAG